rnacentral:rRNA from 1 species
GAUGAACGCUAGCUACAGGCUUAACACAUGCAAGUCGAGGGGUAGCAGGGUAGCAAUACCGCUGACGACCGGCGCACGGGUGAGUAACACGUAUCCAACCUUCCCAUAACUCAGGGAUAGCCUUUCGAAAGAAAGAUUAAUACCUGAUAGUACUUUUUUAAGGCAUCUUGAGAAAGUUAAAGAUUUAUUGGUUAUGGAUGGGGAUGCGUUCCAUUAGAUAGUUGGUGAGGUAACGGCUCACCAAGUCUUCGAUGGAUAGGGGUUCUGAGAGGAAGGGCCCCCACAUUGGUACGGGGACACGGACCAAACUCCUACGGGAGGCAGCAGUGAGGAAUAUUGGUCAAUGGGCGAGAGCCUGAACCAGCCAAGUAGCGUGAAGGAUGAAGGUCCUAUGGAUUGUAAACUUCUUUUAUAGUAGAAUAAAGUGACCUACGUGUAGGUUUUUGUAUGUAUACUAUGAAUAAGGAUCGGCUAACUCCGUGCCAGCCGCCGCAGUAAUAC